CCCCCAAACAGAGGCAUGUGCACGCUCUGUUUACACAUCCACUCACACCUGUGCACCCUCUGUAGUUCUAUGGCCUGGGUGACCCUGUCCCCCUCGCUGUUGUUCUGCAUCUUUACACACAUACACCGUAACUUAGUUUUGUGGAAUGUAUCCUGCACAUUAUGCAAUACAAUACAACUUUCAGCAACGGAUCUCUUGGCUCUCGCAUCGAUGAAGAACGCAGCGAAAUGCGAUAAGUAAUGUGAAUUGCAGAAUUCAGUGAAUCAUCGAAUCUUUGAACGCACCUUGCGCCCUUUGGCUAUUCCGAAGGGCAUGCCUGUUUGAGUAUCAUGAACACCUCAACUCUCAUGGUUGCCAUGAUGAGCUUGGACUCUGGGGGUCUUGCUGGCUCAUGGUCAGCUCCUCUUAAUGAAUCAGCUUUCCAGUGUUUGGUGGCAUCACAGGUGUGAUAACUAUCUACGCUUGUGGUGUCCUCCCAGGUAACCUUCGGGCAUGAGGUCGCUGGAGCUAAUAACGCGCAUCUCUCAUUGUAGAGAUGGCUUUUUAGAUGUUGAUCUCAAUCAG
rnacentral:rRNA from 1 species